GAGAAGGAGAUACAGGUUCCGUCUUCGCACGAUCGGCACUGAAGCAGAAGACACAAGAGACAAGGCACUUUGAUCCUUCCGGCUGCGAGGAAUGGACGGACCGAACGGCAGGCUGCGGCGAUUCCAACUGACCCAGUAACCACGCCGUUCAGCUCACAUUCGACUCCGACGCCGCGGACAUUUCCGUGACCCAAACCACGCCCGCACCACUACCUCAGUUCUAGGAU